rnacentral:rRNA from 1 species
UUCGGCCAUAGUGGCGCACGGGUGAGUAACGCGUGGGAACCUGCCCAGCAGUGGGGGAUAACUUCGGGAAACCGGGGCUAAUACCGCAUACGCCCUUAGGGGGAAAGAUUUAUCGCUGUUGGAGGGGCCCGCGUCCGAUUAGUUUGUUGGUGGGGUAAUGGCCUACCAAGACUACGAUCGGUAGCUGGUCUGAGAGGAUGAUCAGCCACACUGGGACUGAGACACGGCCCAGACUCCUACGGGAGGCAGCAGUGGGGAAUAUUGGACAAUGGGCGCAAGCCUGAUCCAGCAAUGCCGCGUGAGUGAUGAAGGCCUUGGGGUUGUAAAGCUCUUUCGGCGGGGACGAUGAUGACGGUACCCGCAGAAGAAGCCCCGGCUAACUUCGUACCAGCAGCCGCGGUAAUACGAAGGGGGCUAGCGUUGUUCGGGAAUUACUGGGCGUAAAGAGCACGUAGGCGGUUCGUUAAA